rnacentral:lncRNA from 1 species
UUCCGACAAGAUUUAUGUUAAUCAUGUUGUGCUGUACUGGAUAUAAAGUUGGCAUAAAGUCACUCUUUAUUUGGUUUUUUUUUAGGUGACCUGGCAGAAGUGAACUGUGCUUUGCAUCUGCACCUCCCAUGCCUUUCGAUUCCAUUGCAAUUAUCUGUAACUGCAUUUGCUGCCUCCUAGAAGGACAACUUCAUAUUGAGGUCUCUGGAUCUUGUCAGACUUUGGUUUCUGAAUCAAACACAGAGACUCCUGGAUGAAGCUCUGAUAUGGAUCUAGGCAAUGUUGCAUCACACCUUUUAUCCCGUGUCUUUCUGUGGAACCUUCUUACACAGCUGCACAAUCUCCAAAUAGAUCUGGAUGUGGAGUGGUGCAGUGAUACGAAUGGAAGUCAGCUAACAGCUCUUUGCAAGGCUUGCUCCACUGUUAAGGAUUCCUUGGAGGCCGCUGGAAAGUGGUGUCAUUGUACAACUGUGGAGUAUGAGAGGGUGAGAUGGGAUGUGUUCAUUCACACUUUCAGACAUGUUGCUGAGCACAUGAUACAUCCCAGAUCUGAGAUAAAAACGAACGUUUUUCCUGUGCAAAUGGAAUAAGUUAUUUCAGUGAGAAGGAC